rnacentral:rRNA from 1 species
CUGCAGCUCAAGUGGUGAUCGUUAUUAUUGGGCCUAAAACGUUCGUAGCCUGUUUAGUAAAUGCCUGGGUAAAUUGUGUAGCUCAACUAUACGACUUCCGGGUAGACUGCUAAACUUGAGACCGGGAGAGGCUAGAGGUACUCCUGGGGUAGAGGUGAAAUUCUGUAAUCCUAGGGGGACCACCAGUGGCGAAGGCGUCUAGCUAGAACGGGUCUGACGGUGAGGGACGAAGCCCUGGGGCGCAAACCGGAUUAGAUACCCGAGUAGUCC